GAUGAACGCUAGCUACAGGCUUAACACAUGCAAGUCGAGGGGUAACGAGAGGAAAGCUUGCUUUCCUUGUCGACGACCGGCGCACGGGUGAGUAACGCGUAUCCAACCUGCCCCCAACUAAGGAAUAACCUUGCGAAAGUAAGACUAAUACCUUAUAAUUUCCUCAGAUGUCAUCUGACGAGGAAUAAAGAUUUAUCGGUUGUGGAUGGGGAUGCGUCUGAUUAGCUUGUUGGCGGGGUAACGGCCCACCAAGGCAACGAUCAGUAGGGGUUCUGAGAGGAAGGUCCCCCACAUUGGAACUGAGACACGGUCCAAACUCCUACGGGAGGCAGCAGUGAGGAAUAUUGGUCAAUGGGCGAAAGCCUGAACCAGCCAAGUAGCGUGCAGGAUGACGGCCCUAUGGGUUGUAAACUGCUUUUAUACAGGAAUAAAGUUAGCCACGUGUGGUUAUUUGUAGGUACUGUAUGAAUAAGGACCGGCUAAUUCCGUGCCAGCCGCCGCAGUAA
rnacentral:rRNA from 1 species